GAGGAAUACAAGGAAUAUUUAGGUCACACUAUCAUGAAUAAACUCCCCCGCAACAAAGUGGGAAAAACAUUAAAACCCAAGACUGAUGAGCUGUUCUGCUGAACGCUGCCACCAGUUUAUCAUCUGAAUAUAAACGCAGACCACUUUUAAGUGCACUUGUGCAACCUGGCUUCAACUGGCUGUUGCAGUAAAGCAUGAAAGAAAGUUUUCAAAUAUCAACCU